rnacentral:rRNA from 1 species
AUGGUCUUAUACGAAUCAUAUGACGAACUACCACAUGAGUGGAUAUACAUGAAAGGAAUCCGAAUAUGCCGAAUCCCUCAUGUCAUCACCUUCUACAUCCUAGGUCUCUUUGUUCUGCCAUCUGGCUUAUGUUCUUCAUGUAUCAUUCAGAUCUAA